CCCCCUCUCUCCUGCGAUUUCUGACUAGAGAGCCGACCACCGUCCGGUCUCCUGAUCGCCGUCGAUCGCUGCCGUCGCUGUCAUUGCCGGCCGUCAGCCACCGUUCACGGUGGCCAAAAAAUCGAAAAAGGUAUUUUUUUGUUUUUUAUAUUUUUUCUUUGUAUUUUUAAUAUAUAUAUGUGUGUAAAAAGGUAAAAGAAAAUAAAUAGAUCUAAGUGUGUAGAUAGAUUCGAAGAAAAGCAAAUAAAUAGAAGGGAAAAUAAAAAAAACCUUUCGUCCGAAUCUAUUCCUUUGUUUUAGUACUUCUUACUGAGAUUGAAUGCUCCUAUUAGUGUUUGAAUCUAUAUUUUUUAUUUUUAUUUUUCGUCAAUACUCUUGCUGUGAUUUUUUGUGUUUCAAAAAGGGUAAAAAUCCCCCCUUACAAAUGUUUGGAUUUGGCUUUUAUAGCCAUACAACUUGAUUUUCUAUUAUUUUCUGUCUUGUCUCUUUUAAUGUGUGCAAGUGUUGAAGAUGGACGGUGGACGUGACCUUGGGCGGUGGCCGCAGCGGUGUCAGAGGCAAGUGGGGAGGCUAGGGUUAGGACGGCUAGGGUUCUACGAUUUUCUGAUUUUUUUUGUGUUGGGCUAGGUUAAUUUUAGGUUUUGGGCUUUAGGAUAGUGGGGCUGAUGUUUGGGUUUAAAAUGUUGUAAGCGGGUUUGGGUUUUGUGGGUUUAAUUGUAAUGGGUUGGUAGUUUAGGGGUGUUAGCUAAGGUGGGUCAAAAUUGGCCUGCAAUAGCACCACUAAUAACAAAGCUCCAAAACGGCAUAGUUUAAACUAUUAAUACAUGUCUGCGGCAUUUCUUUCUAAAACGCCACUAAGUAUGCAAUAUAAAGCCCAAUAAUUUU
rnacentral:lncRNA from 1 species